CGUGAAGGAUGAAGGCCUUCGGGUCGUAAACUUCUGUCGAGAGGGAAGAACCACGUACGGUUAAUAUCCGUGCGUCUGACGGUACCUCCAAAGGAAGCACCGGCUAACUCCGUGCCAGCAGCCGCGGUAAUACGGAGGGUGCAAGCGUUGUUCGGAUUUAUUGGGCGUAAAGCGAGUGUAGGCGGUUUGAAAAGUCGGAUGUGAAAGCCCAGGGCCCAACCCUGGAACUGCAUCCGAUACUGUCAGGCUAGAGUCCCGGAGAGGGUGGCGGAAUUCCCGGUGUAGGGGUGAAAUCCGUAGAUAUCGGGAGGAACACCAGUGGCGAAGGCGGCCACCUGGACGGUGACUGACGCUGAGACUCGAAAGCGUGGGUAGCAAACAGGAUUAGAUACCCUGGUAGUCCACGCCGUAAACGGUGAGUGCUCGUCGUCGUGGGUAUUGACCCCUGCGGUGACCAAGUUAACGCAUGAA
rnacentral:rRNA from 1 species